GAGAAACUGCGAAAGGCUCAUUAAAUCACACCUAAUGCACUGGAUAGUGACAGUUACUUGGAUAACUGCGGUAAUUCUGGAGCUAAUACAUGCAUACCAGCCCCGACUCACGGAGGGGUGCUUUUAUUAGACUAAAACCAAACGGUCUCGGCCGUCCAAUUGGUGAAUCUGAAUAACUUUGAGCGGAUCGCAUGGCUUCACGCCGGCGACGUAUCCUUCCAAGGUGUGACCUAUCAACUGUCGACUGUGGCAUAGACGCCCACAGUGGUUUUGACGGGUAACGGGGAAUUAGGGUUCGAUUCCGGAGAGGGAGCCUGAGAAACGGCUACCACUUCUAAGGAAGGCAGCAGGCACGCAAAUUACCCACUGGUCAAAGACCGAGGUAGUGACGAAAAAUAACGAUACCAGACUCAUCCGAGGCCUGGUAAUCGGAAUGAGCACACUUUAAAUCCUUUAACGAGGAACCAUUGGAGGGCAAGUCUGGUGCCAGCAGCCGCGGUAAUUCCAGCUCCAAUAGUUUAUAUUAAAGUUGUUGCGGUUAAAAAGCUCGUAGUUGGAACCUGGCGGGCAGGGGGCGGUCCAUUAUUUGAUGCGACUGCCCCAUUUGCCCGUUUUUCUCGGUGGAAUUCCUAGGGUGCUCUUCACCGAGUGUCCUUGGAGGCCACCAGGUUUACUUUGAAAAAAUUAGAGUGCUCCAAGCAGGCUCGACACGCCUGAAUAUUUGUGCAUGGAAUAAUGGAAUAGGACGUCGUUCCUAUUUUGUUGGUUUUAGGGAUUCGACGUAAUGAUUAAUAGGGACAGCCGGGGGCAUUAGUAUUCAGACGACAGAGGUGAAAUUCUUGGACCGUCUGAAGACUAACUACUGCGAAAGCAUUUGCCAAGAGUGUUUUCAUUAAUCAAGAACGAAAGUUAGAGGUUCGAAGGCGAUCAAAUACCGCCCUAGUUCUAACCAUAAACGAUGCCAGCUAGCGAUCCGCUGAAUUUUUUUAUGUAGGCUCUGCGGGAAGCUUCCGGGAAACCAAAGCUUUUGGGUUCCGGGGGAAAUAUGGUUGCAAAGC
rnacentral:rRNA from 1 species